UUGCAGGCCGUUCAGCGAGGUUGAGUCUGAAGUGACUCUGUCCUUUCCUGUUGAGUCUGCUAGAUGGACAUGGGCUGGUUUGAGACCGUGCUGUUUACCCUCUACAGCAUGGUUAUAGAAACCCCAGACAGGC
ensembl:snoRNA